UAAGUUGACUGCCGGUGACAAACCGGAGGAAGGUGGGGAUGACGUCAAAUCAUCAUGCCCCUUAUGAUUUGGGCUACACACGUGCUACAAUGGACAAUACAAAGGGCAGCGAAACCGCGAGGUCAAGCAAAUCCCAUAAAGUUGUUCUCAGUUCGGAUUGUAGUCUGCAACUCGACUACAUGAAGCUGGAAUCGCUAGUAAUCGUAGAUCAGCAUGCUACGGUGAAUACGUUCCCGGGUCUUGUACACACCGCCCGUCACACCACGAGAGUUUGUAACACCCGAAGCCGGUGGAGUAACCUUUUAGGAGCUAGCCGUCGAAGGUGGGACAAAUGAUUGGGGUGAAGUCGUAACAAGGUAGCCGUAUCGGAAGGUGCGGCUGGAUCACCUCCUUU
rnacentral:rRNA from 1 species